rnacentral:lncRNA from 1 species
GUUCCAAAGUCAAACCCUAGCAUCCUUCUCUCUUCUUUGUUGUUUGCUAGAGUAAUAUCCAGGUUCCACGUGAGGUGUUUAUGAUUAGGUACAGGUUGGUCGUACCAAAGUUCUUGUAAUAAUUGGUAUCAGAGCCCGAUUACAUGGAAGAAAGAAGAAGAUGCCGAAGAUCAAGUUUUAGCCCAGAUUUCUACAGUGCCUAGGUUUUCCCUU